rnacentral:rRNA from 1 species
CAUAGCGACUAUCGUGGCAUAUCAAUAAGCGGAGGAAAAGAAACUAACAUAGGAUUCCCUCAGUAACGGCGAGUGAAGCGGGAAGAGCUCAAAUUUGAAAUCUUCAAGAUUUUACCUUGACGAAUUGUAGUUUAAAGAAGUGUUUUCUGUUGGAUGUUUUGGUAAAAGUUCUUUGGAAUAGGACAUCAUAGAGGGUGAGAAUCCCGUAUUUGACCAUUACUUUCCAGCUGUUGUGAUAUACUUUCAAAGAGUCGGAUUGUUUGGGAAUGCAGUCCUAAAUGGGUGGUAAAUUUCAUCUAAAGCUAAAUAUUGGCGAGAGACCGAUAGCGAACAAGUACCGUGAGGGAAAGAUGAAAAGAACUUUGAAAAGAGAGUUAAACAGUACGUGAAAUUGUCAAAAGGGAAGCGUUUGACACCAGUGUUGUUUUCUCGAAAAUCAAUUAAAAAUGAUGGGAUUUUGUGUUGUAUUGACUUUAUCAGCUUUCUGCACUUUUUUCUUAUCUUUUUUAAUGCACUUUUCGUUUAACAAGUCAACAUCAAUUUCUUUUGUUGUAAAAGAGUCAUUGGAAGGUGGCUUUUUCUUCGGAAAAAGUGUUUAUAGCCUUUGGCUUCUGCAAUCGGAGAGAUUGAGGUCUGCAGCGUAGAUCCUUCGGGGUUAGAUACAUUUGUGCUAAGCUAUAGUUCUUUAUAGACAACUUGUUGACUAUAAUCAAUCCUGUAACUUACUCGCUUAUGCUAUUUUACCUACGCUUAGGAUGUUGACGAGACUGUCGAUCUC